rnacentral:tRNA from 1 species
GAGGGUACAGCUCAGUGGAAGAGUGUGUGCUUAGCAGGCAUCAGGUCCUGGGUUCAAUCCCCAGUACCUCCA